rnacentral:rRNA from 1 species
GAUGAACGCUGGCGGCGUGCCUAAUACAUGCAAGUCGAACGCUGGAAAUCUAGCUUGCUAGAUUGAAGGAGUGGCGAACGGGUGAGUAAUACAUAAGCAACCUACCCACGAAGACUGGGAUAAUCUCUGGAAACGGGGACUAAUACCGGAUAGGUAAUCGGAAGGCAUCUUCUGAUUAUUAAAGGUUAAAAACACUGGUGGAUGGGCUUAUGGGGCAUUAGUUAGUUGGUGAGGUAACGGCCCACCAAGACGAUGAUGCGUAGCCGGCCUGAGAGGGUGAACGGCCACAUGGUGACUGGGCCACGGCCCAGACUCCUACGGGAGGGAGCAGUAGGGGAGUUUCGGCAAGGGAAGAAACCCUGACCGAGCAACGCCGCGUGAGUGAUGACGGCGUUCGGGUUGUAGAGCUCUGUUGUAAGGGAAGAACGGUAGAUAGAGAAUAUCUAAAUGACGGUACCUUGCCAGAAAGCCACGGCUAACUACGUG